ACCUGCAGCUCAAGUGGUAGCCGCUAUUAUUGGGCCUAAAACGUUCGUAGCCGGUUUAGUAAAUGCUUGGGUAAAUUGUGUCGCUUAACGAUACGAAUACCGGGUAGACUGCUAAACUUGGGACCGGGAGAGGUUAGAGGUACUCCUGGGGUAGAGGUGAAAUUCUGUAAUCCUGGGGGGACCACCAGUGGCGAAGGCGUCUAACCAGAACGGGUCUGACGGUGAGGGACGAAGCCCUGGGGCGCAAACCGG
rnacentral:rRNA from 1 species